CGGGGGAGGCUGGAUCCUGGGCUGUGUCCGGGCGCCCGGUGCUCCUGGUCUGCGCUGUUGGAUUCGCCCUCCCGGCCGUGCAGCCCCCU
rnacentral:pre_miRNA from 1 species